rnacentral:rRNA from 1 species
UACGUAGGGGGCAAGCGUUGUCCGGAUUUAUUGGGCGUAAAGAGCGUGUAGGCGGCUAUGCAGGUCCGCUGUGAAAACUCGAGGCUCAACCUCGAGACGUCGGUGGAAACCGCAUGGCUAGAGUCCGGAAGAGGCGAGUGGAACUCCUGGUGUAGCGGUGGAAUGCGCAGAUAUCAGGAAGAACACCAACGGCGAAGGCAGCUCGCUGGGACGGUACUGACGCUGAGACGCGAAAGCGUGGGGAGCGAACAGG